GUGUUAGUUCGCUAACACAUAUAUCUAAAAUUGGAAACGAUACAGAAAGAUUAGCAUGCCCCUGCGGCAAGGAUGACAACGCAAAUUCGUUGAAGGUUCCUCAUAUUU
rnacentral:snRNA from 1 species